GACGAACGCUGGCGGCGCGCUUAACACAUGCAAGUCGAGCGAUGAAACUUUAACAGAGCCCUUCGGGGCGAAGAUAAAGUGGAUUAGCGGCGGACGGGUGAGUAACACGUGAGUAACCUGCCUUAGACAUUGGGAUAGCCUCGGGAAACCGGGAUUAAUACCAAAUCAAAUCAUAAUGACACAUGUCAUAACGAUCAAAACUCCGGUGGUCUAAGAUGGACUCGCGUCCCAUUAGCUAGUUGGUAGAGUAAAAGCCUACCAAGGCGGCGAUGGAUAGACGGCCUAAAAGGGUGAGAGGCGACGCCGGACCUGAGAGAGGGACGAGACUCCUGAGGGAGGCAGACGGAGGAAACCUUCCGCGAUGGGCGAAAGGGGGAAGGAGCAACGAGGGGGGAGAGAUGAAGGUCGCCGGACCGUAAAAAUCAGUAAUGAUUUAAGAACAUAAGUGUAAUUAAAUGUGCACAUCUUGACGGUACCUAAUAAGAAAGCCCCGGCUAACUACGUG
rnacentral:rRNA from 1 species